rnacentral:rRNA from 1 species
UAUGUAGGGUGCAAGCGUUAAUCGGAAUUACUGGGAGCAAAGCGUGCGCAGGCGGUUGUGCAAGGCAGAUGUGAAAUCCCCGGGCUUAACCUGGGAACUGCAUUUGUGACUGCACAGCUGGAGUGCGGCAGAGGGGGAUGGAAUUCCGCGUGUAGCAGUGAAAUGCGUAGAUAUGCGGAGGAACACCGAUGGCGAGGGCAAUCCCCUGGGCCUGCACUGACGCUCAUGCACGAAAGCGUGGGGAGCAAACAGG